rnacentral:sRNA from 1 species
AACUAGCCCUGAUUGAAGUGGAAAUCCCACAGCAAGCGCUGGCAAAAGCCCGGGAGCGAGGAAUUGCAACGAAAAGCAGGAUUAAGC